CCUACGGGUGGCAGCAGUGGGGAAUAUUGGACAAUGGGGGCAACCCUGAUCCAGCCAUGCCGCGUGUGUGAAGAAGGCCCUCGGGUUGUAAAGCACUUUCAGUGAGGAAGAACGCCUGGUGGUUAAUACCCAUCAGGAAAGACAUCACUCACAGAAGAAGCACCGGCUAACUCCGUGCCAGCAGCCGCGGUAAUACGGAGGGUGCGAGCGUUAAUCGGAAUUACUGGGCGUAAAGCGCGCGUAGGUGGCUUGAUAAGCCGGUUGUGAAAGCCCCGGGCUCAACCUGGGAACGGCAUCCGGAACUGUCAAGCUAGAGUGCAGGAGAGGAAGGUAGAAUUCCCGGUGUAGCGGUGAAAUGCGUAGAGAUCGGGAGGAAUACCAGCGGCGAAGGCGGCCUUCUGGACUGACACUGACACUGAGGUGCGAAAGCGUGGGUAGCAAACAGGAUUAGAUACCCCAGUAGUC
rnacentral:rRNA from 1 species